rnacentral:lncRNA from 1 species
UCUCAAACUCCUGACCUCAUGUGAUCCCUCCGCCUCAGCCUCCCAAAGUGCUGGGAUUAUAGGCAUGAGUCAUCGCACCCAACACUGUCUUUAUUUAAUAUUACUAUUUUUUUUGUGAUGACACUUAACAUAAGAUCUACCCUCAUAAAAAAAAUUUUAGUAUACAAUACAGUAUUGUUAACUAUAAACACUGUGCUAUAGAGUCGAUGUCUAGGUCUCAGGCAUCUUGCAUAGCUGAAACUUUGUGCCCCUUGACAUUCUCCCCAACCCCUGACAACCACCAUUUCCUGCUCUGCUUCUGUAAGUUUGACUAUUUUCGAUUCCUCACAUAAGUGGCAUCAGUUAUUAUUUGUUUUCUGGCUCUCAAUUAUUUCACUUGAUGAAUGUACUCCAGGUUCAUUCAUGUUACUGAAAACGGCAGAAUUCCUCUCCUGUCCCCUGCCCUCACCAUUGAGGACCUAAAGGAUAAUGAAAGGGGGGAAUCUGUGCCCUAAAUAAUCCCUUUUGGCAGUUACUUUCUGUUUUCAAAGUUCAGCUCUCCCUCUCCCUCUCCCUCUCCCUCUCCCUCUCCCUCUCUCUCUCCCUCUCUCUCCACGGUCUCCCUCUCCCUCUCCCUCUCUCUCCACGGUCUCCCUCUCCCUCUCGCUCUCUCUCCACGGUCUCCCUCUCCCUCUCCCUCUCUCUCCACGGUCUCCCUCUCCCUCUCCCUCUCUCUCCACGGUCUCCUUCUGUUGCCGAGCCAAGGCUGGACUGUACUGCCGCCAUCUCCGCUCACUGCAACCUCCCUGCCUGAUUCUCCUGCCUCAGCCUGCCUGGGAUUGCAGGCGCGCGCCGCCAUGCCUGACUGGUUUUUGCUGGAGUGCAGUGGCGUGAUCUCGGCUCGCUACAACCUCCACCUCCCAGCCGCCUGCCUUGGCCUCCCAAAGUGCUGAGAUUGCAGCUUCUGCCCGGCUGCCACCCCAUCUGGGAAGUGAGGAGCGUCUCUGCCUGGCCGCCUAUCGUCUGGGAAGUGAGGAGCGCCUCUUCCCGGCCGCCAUCCCGUCUGGGAAGUGACCAGCGUCUCUGCCCGGCCGCCCAUCGUCUGAGAUGUGGGGAGCGCCUCUGCCCCGCCGCCCCGUCUGGGAUGUGAGGAGCGCCUCUGCCCGGUCGCGACCCCGUCUGGGAACUGAGGAGUGUCUCUGCCCGACCGUCACCCCGUCUGGGAGAAAUUCGACAGGGAAGAAAAGCAAGUCACCAGGGACUGUAUCCUUGAUUAGUGGCUGCGAUCCUGCAACACACUUCAUCCUGCCCAAUCCCCAUCGAUGUUGGCAUUUUCCUACUCAAUUGAUGUCCUCAUAUUUUCCCUGCUCCAUCUACACACCAUAUAUUUCCUCAGGUGCUACAAACAAGUUCCAAACUUUAUUGGACAGGGGAAGAAGUAGAAGAAACAAGAAGUAUUAUUAAAAUGAAUGGAGUUAAAAUGGGACAGAGAUUCCUCCUGGAUGAAACAGAAGCCGGGCUGCUGAUGCAGCUGGAGGAGGAAGCGAGAGGUUCCAACGGCAUGACUCCUUGGCAUUUCACACAUCCAUAGAAAUAACCCAUCUAUGAUUUCCACAAGACAAUUUUUUCUUAGUCCCCACUUUUCAGUGUAUGCUCAAACACAAUGCAGAAUCCCAAGAAACUGUGAAACUUUUCUGAGAAAAUGUUCUGAUUUGAAUUAGUUAGCUGUAUUCUGCAUUCAGCACAUUUACAAGCUUUGAAAUAUCGGACAUUGGCAAGCAAGCACUAACAUUUUAUAAGUAGCAGUUUGCAUCCAGGUUUGAGGUAAUGUAAUCCAACAUGCACGAGAACACAGUCUAGGUCCCCUUCUCCCUUCUAAGCAUAGCAGAAGGAUUAGGAAUAAUGAAUGGUGUGAAUUUUGCCACCUAGAGGGUUUCAUUUUGAUACCUGUUACACAGUCCUCUUGAGCACUGUGCUCAUUUUUCCUAUUGCUGAGAUAUGGAAAAUAAAACAGUAAUAGGAACGUGCACUGACAACACACCAUGUCAAUGCCCUAAAACGCAAAGUCUUGGAGAGGGUUCCAUAAUGGCUUCAGUAGAAGCAUAGCUCAUUCCCUGCUUUGCUAAUCAAUUUUCUGCAUGCCAUGUUCUCCCCGUUAUACCUCAUCCCUUAGGCUACUCUUGUAGCCCAAGUCAACCACACAGGUGAUAUACACCGGUGGAAUAGGUCAGGGCAAUUUCUUGAGGCACUGGAGGGGGAAAACCUGGGGUCUCUCCUCAGCCCUCCAAUGUGUCCAUAAUGCUCCUCAUGUGCCACAGGCUCCGUGCCACCAUGGAAUUUGAUCUGGAAGUCUAGAGCCCUUUUCAGGGAGUUGUUUAAGCCUUUAGUCCUUGUUUCUUCACUCUUAGUGUAAUUCUGUGUCAUUUUAGAGCCAGAAACACUGUUGUAACAGUCAAAUGUAGUAAUUAAGACUGUAGUAUCAGAUCACUGGCUUUUCAAUCUUUUUCUAAAAGGCUCUAUGAUCUCAGGCAAAUUUACUGAACUCUUCUUGCUGUAAUAUGGGGAGACAGUGGCCCUCACUUCAUAGAUUGUAGUGAGAUUAAAUAAGUUAAUAUAUGUAAAGCUUUAAUAAAGUACUUAGCAAAUAGUAUAUACAGUACUAUGCAAGUUUUAGCUAUAAAAUGACAAUAACAUUUCACAUAAAAAGGUUACUAUUAAUUGUUACUACCAUUUCCUAAUUAUUGAUUUAUGUAAUAAGCUAUGCCCCAAACCUACCAGGUUUAACUCUUGGUAUUCAGUGUGAACUGAAUUAUAUUCCCCUCAAAUUCAUUUAUUGAAACACUAAUGUGCUGGCAUUAGAAGGCAAGGCAUUUGGGAGGUAAUUAGGUCAUGAAGGUAGAAUCCUCAUGAUGGGAUUAAUGCCCUUAUUAGAACAGACUGAAGAGAAAUUUUACUCUGCCAUGAGAGACACAUAAAAAAAAAAAAAAAAGAUGAAGUCUACAAGCCAGGAAGCAAGCUCCCACCAAGAACUGAAUCAGCCAGCACCUUGUUCUUGAAUUUCCCAGCCUCCAGAACUGUGAGAAAUAAAUAUUAGUAGUUCAAGUCACCCAGACGGUGAUAUUUUUUGAUAUUUUGUGACAGCAGCCCAUACAAACCAAGGCUAUCUUCAAGCAAACAAUUUAGAAGUUCACAAUUUUUUUUCUGUCAAAUAUGUGGUGUUCGCAAAUUGAAAGCAUCUUGGAUUUCAGACUUGGGUGAAAUGUCCCACCAGACGGUGUGAUAUUUAGUAGCCCAGAAAGCUGCCAAGGGGUUGAAUGACACUAUCUGAAGAUAUGAACCAGUUUGCUCUCCAUAGGGAGGAUUUCAUCAACAGGAAACAGAUGCCUGGAAGGCAUUGGAUUUGCUAAGUGUCUAUGCCAUAUGAUUCUGCUGUUUGCGUUUGAUUUAGAAUGCUGAGCUGACUCAAAGUCAAACUGUAAGUACGGCCUUCAAUAAAGAGUGCAUGUUAUAUGUAGGUUGCAGAUUACAUUGUGAAAAUGCCCAUUUAAAAAAGUGAUGUUACUAAAGGCAUGGCAAUGAUGAUAAGCCUCGUGGUAUUGUGAUAAAGAGAAACUCGAUAUGGUUGCUGUUACCAGUUGUAGACGGAUCUGCCUAGAAGAGGCCAUCGGCCAUGUAUUGGUGAUUUAUUGCUGUUCAUAUCACAUUGCAAGCUCUAAAAAUUUGCUGUGUCACUGCUAGAAACGUAUUACAAUCAAAAUAAUUUCUAGCAAACUAUUGAAAAUGGUUUAUUUCCCAGGGAUUUUUGCUAAAGAUGUCAUUUGAAUCACCAGCCUCCCAAUUCUACUUAUAGAAUCUUCCAUUUUGUAACUCUGUUGGCACCCUCGUAUUAGUUCCUAUGGUCAAUUUCUC